CUCCAUUCCCCUCUCUCUCUCCCUCCUCUCAGCCUCUCCUCAGAUCCAUUCCCCUUUCUCCCUUCCCUCACGCGGCAGACGCGGACCCUGCCACUGCCGGCCGGCCUUGGACGGGUGACUGCGGUGGUGCCCCGUGCCGCGCGACCGCAAGCAGACCUCCGCAGCUUGGGUGCUCGCUGCGGCAUCCUCGAACCAGGCGGUUCUGCGAUUGAGGCGGCGGCGGCCGCUGCAACCGAGCUCCGCAUCGGGCCCUACGCACCACAAUGACGCGGCCGAUGCUGGCUUUGCUGGGACGCUCCUGUGCCUGGCAGGUGAAGUGCAGGGCGAGCUGGAGCUGCCACUCACGGCCGUGCGGCGUUACUCCCAGGGCGAGCAGAUGCGACCCCUAGCCUGCAGCUCGUUCUCGUUCCGCAUCCUUGGCCUUUUCAGGCCUCCUCAGGUAAGCUGUCAUGCGUCUCUCUCUACUUGAUUUCUUUAUAUGACUUGGCUAUUUGUAGAAUUUGGCCAAUCACGGAUCUAGUUUAAAUGUGAUGCAAAUUAAUUCACCCAGUGCUAGAUGUUAGUCUAGGCCUAUGUCUCAUUUUACGUACUUGAAUCUGAAUUGAUGUGUAAUGUCUUGUAUGCUCUGCACCUCAUCAUUGCGCUGGUGAUUGAGGCAGUAGGUACAAAGCGCACUGCACUUAUGGAUCUGUUUACCAUUACUUAAUCUAUUACUGAACUGAACUUAUGCUUUCCAUGUUCUAAUCACUAUGUAUCUAGUGUACGUAGGAGGUGCAGGGAUGAUAGACAUGACAGCCUAGCUAUAUCAGCACAGGUGAAUCAAUCUUUUUAUUGACAAGGUAAUAACAAACAAUCCCCUGUGCUUGAUCUGCGAGACAUUGACUAUAAAAAUUAGUUCAUUUGCUGUUAGCUUUGCUAGUACCUGUGCUGUUGGAUUUGCUUAAUCUGCUACUUUUCUUGGACACGACUUGAGCAAGCUUUGGUGAUAGCAGAGGUGAAUUAAUAGCAUGCUGUCACGAGGUCAAACGAAAUGUUUUUGGUAUGUCCUAAAAGUUGCCUUUCAACUUCAAGUUGCAGCCCUGAAAUCUACAGCCUUUAGUGGUCAAUAUUAUAUCUGAAAAAAUAUGUAUUAGUGGUGGAUGUGGUUAGAUUAUCACUAGCAAACACUUUGUUGCACAUUGAUAGGAAUCUUACCAGCUGUCUUUUUGGUUGCACAUUACUCUAAUUAUGUUUAAUUUUUUUGUGAGCAGACAACAUUUCUAAUGAAAAGGCCUUCGCUGAGCAGCCAGAAGUCCACAUGUUAGUUUCGGUGAGGAGGAAAAUUGAUUAAUGAUAUGACAGGGGUCCCUGCCUAUGAUAAGGUAGCACCUUUUUUUGCAGUAUUUGCUUAAUGCAAGAAGAAUGUUCAGAUGAAAUGCAAAAAAAGUGAGAAGGAUCUUGAGAAUUGGAGAAAGCAGGAGUUGCUGUGUAAAAUAGGCUUGCUAUUAGUCUCUGUUUGAUAAUGUAUGAGAAUUUCUGGUAUUUCAAGUUGUUUAGCUGGUUGGUCUACAAAUUUGUUUGUAAGUUAACAUUGACAAUGUCCAAUUCAUGCAGUUAUAUGAACAAGCCUGAUUUGUAUGUGUAGCAUUCAAUUUGUUUGAUAAUCUUUGGAUAAAAAAUUGCCAUUUGCUUUACAUUGGA